CAGUGCAGACAGACAAAGAUAGAUAGAUGUCCAGUUACAGUAAAGGAAGACUCUGGUUAUUUUGGUGUUGUCUUCUACAGGAUCACAGCUUUAGGAUAGCGGUCAAAUUCCCAGGUGUCUUCCCAUUCCGGUUCCGUUGCGGCGUUCCGGCUCGGAAAACUAUGCAUCAACUUCUCCAGCAUGACUCAGAUACUGAGGAGAAGAAGAGAUGCAACAUGCAUGCAUAUGUGUGAAAGAUGGACAGAAGAUCUGAAGGAACAGGGUCAGCAACUGAACUAACCCGCUGCUGCUUUUCCCAGAGAGCCUCGUAUCGAUCCAGAGACGGCAUUACAGCGAGAGAGAGAGAGGGUUGUAACAUGCAAGGGUACCGGGGUCAGCAGUGCAGCUUUGUUUCUCUAGACGAAAUGGAGCUCUGAUACAUUUCCCAAAAUCCAUUCGUAGAACUCGCAGGCCUCUCGGCAUCGGAAACAUAGUAUGAUCCCUCAUGUGUACGAUAUAUCACGAAUCCAAAUGCAGUUCGAUGGUAUUUACACGGCAGCAGAAAUAGGCUCAUGCAUUCAGACUCCUGGGGGUUUGUUUGGAAAAAUUUGUUGUUGUUGUCUCAAAUGGCUAAUUGUACAAUUUACUCAUCCAAAUGUAGGCUUUUAAAACGGUAUUUUUGACAAACACACAACCUGUAAUUUAUAUGUUUAUGUUGGAAACAGGAAAACAAUGGCGCAAUGGUUUACAUAAACAUUUCCACUCUUUCCUGCGUCAUUUUUGAAUCCAGGUGAUACUUCGCAGUAUGUAUCAUAUAUUAAAAAACAU